CAUUACAAGGCCCGCCCCUUGUGGCCUAUCACAGCCGUUGUUGUUGUAACGUCUUGUCGUUCGCGCUCACAUCCGGUGAUAUAUAUUUCGCCACGAGUUAGCGGCGAAUUCGGAGUGUCCAUCUUGAGAAGCAAGUCACCGUCUCCUCGUCUCUGAACCCCCCCAUCCAUCACAAUGAGCGACACCGAAAAUCAGUUUAUGGAGACUUCCGAGCAGAAUGGCAACGAGGGAGAGGAGGAGCAGAACGGAGCCGACCAAGAGGAGUUUGCUGUCAAAGAAGAAGAAGAAGAAGCAGAAGGCGAAGUAGAAGGAGACGUAGAAGCAGAGGUAGAAGGAGACGUAGAAGCAGAACCAGAAGCAGCAGCAGCAGCAGAAGCAGCAGCAGCAGAAGGAGGCGAAGGCGACGUAGAGGCAGAAGGAGAAGGCGAGGGAGAUGCUGAGGCCGAAGUAACGCAGGAGGAAGCCGGAGACGGUGGAAAAAUCAACGCUAGCAAAGGAGAAGAUGAUGCAGGUAAAAUGUUCGUGGGCGGCCUGAGCUGGGACACCAGUAAAAAGGACCUGAAGGACUACUUCUCGAAGUUCGGCGAGGUCUCGGACUGCACCAUUAAGAUGGACGCCAGCACGGGCCGAUCCCGCGGCUUCGGAUUCGUCCUUUUUAAAGACUCCUCCAGCGUGGACAAGGUCCUAGAGCAGAGCGAACACAGACUGGACGGACGUCAAAUCGACCCCAAGAGGGCCAUGGCGAUGAAGAAGGAGCCUGCAAAGAAGAUCUUUGUUGGAGGGCUGAAUCCUGAGGCCACAGAAGAAACCAUCAGGGAAUACUUUGGAACUUUUGGAGAGAUUGAGACCAUUGAGCUGCCAGUUGAGCCCAAGAUGAAGAAGAGGCGGGGGUUCAUCUUCAUCACAUACAAAGACGAGGCCAGCGUCAAGAAGUGUCUUGAGAACAAAUUCCACACGGUCGAAGGCAGCAAGUGUGAGUUGAAGAUCGCCCAGCCCAAAGACGUGUACCAGCAGCAGCAGUACGGGGGUGGCCGAGGGGGCGGCUACAGCGGAGGUGGUGGUCGUGGUGGCAGGUGGCGCGGCGGUGGAGGAGGAGGAGGAGGAGGAGGUGGCGGCGGAGGUAAGGGCGCUGAUGGUUCUUUAUUGUGCUCCUCACCCACAGCUUAUAAUGGAUGCGUGCAAGGAACGGAUUCCAUGGUUGUACGAUUUUAGGUAGCCAAUGUAUUUUUAAAUCCUUUCUGAUUUAUAAGGCAGAUGAGUUGAUGCAGGUAUGGAUAAUUGUCACAAUUUGUAUUAAUUGUUUUACUCAGCCCAGAGCCAAGGCUGGAACCAAGGCUAUGGUAACUAUUGGAACCAGGGCUACGGUUCCCAGGGCGGUUACGGAGGCUAUGGUGGAUACGGAGGCUACGACUAUGGCUCAGGCUACUAUGGUGGAUAUGGCGGCGGCGGCGCUUAUGAUUACAUGCUCAAGUGAUCCAGUGUAAGAUUGGACUUAUGGUAGCCUGGCGGGGACACAAGACUCCACUCAACUUUUAUGGCAGACGACCAUUUUGUACAGAAACCAUCAGAAUAAAAUGUAACUUUUUCCAAUUUUUUUUUACCCGGUCAUGUUUUGUUUUUCCCGUAGUUUUCUUUUUUUUUUUUUCCCACAUUUCCACAACUGGAAGUGUUAUUUUUACCGUACUUUUUGGUACCUUUUGAUUCUAAUGUAUUGUAAGGGUUGUAUUUUACAUGUCUGCUGACUUUACAGAACAAAACAUUGAUGCUGUAAAGGAGCUUUUGUUUUGUUUUUGAAGAAAAAAUAAACAUUUUUCAGUAAUUUUUUUUCCCCCUGUUCUGGUGCUUCCAGACUCUUGAGCCAAGUCUUAAGUUCACCUGGAAGGGCACAAGGUCAAGUGGGUGUCCUCUGCAGUAGGGUCUAGUUACUGAGGUUUAAAGUGGCCAUGGUUACCAAAUCAACAAAACAAUUAUGAUAUAACUAAAUUCCAAUGAACAAAAAAUUUCUUUUUAAAUUCAAAAUGUUAAUGAUCUUUCUCCCCCUUUACCACAUGGCCGAUGUUGGAAUAUGAUAAUUCAAUGUAAAUAGACUUGUAUCUGCGAAAGGGAAUGCUUGCCUCUUUUGUGUCCUCGUCAACCGGUGCGCACCUUUCUGGAUGUUUUAAAGGGCAGUGUCUUCAGAUAUGACUAAUGCGGAGAAGGGCUUGCUGAUAUGGACUGCUGUCUGGAAGGGGGGAGGGGGUUCUUUUCGCUUCUGUGUUGACUUAAUUUGUGUGGUAUGCCUUUGUUUUAAGUGAUAGCUCUGGAAUUAGAUGUCUUCAAAGUUUGUUUAUAGGACCAGGCCCUCUGGGGUCUACACAAACUAGUGUAUUUGGCAGUUUGUUAGUAAUAAAAAAACCUUUGGUUU